rnacentral:rRNA from 1 species
GAUGAACGCUGGCGGCGUGCCUAAUACAUGCAAGUCGAGCGAACAGACGAGGAGCUUGCUCCUCUGACGUUAGCGGCGGACGGGGGAGUAACACGUGGAUAACCUCCCUAUAAGUCUGGGAUGACUUCGGGAAACCGGAGCUGAUACCGGGUAAUAUAUUGAACCGCAUGGUUCAAUAGUGAGAGACGGUUUUGCUGUCACUUAGAGAUGGAUUCGCGCCGCAUUAGCUAGUUGGUAAGGUAACGGCUUACCAAGGCAACGAUGCGUAGCCGACCUGAGAGGGUGAUCGGCCACACUGGAACUGAGACACGGUCCAGACUCCUACGGGAGGCAGCAGUAGGGAAUCUUCCGCAAUGGGCGAAAGCCUGACGGAGCAACGCCGCGUGAGUGAUGAAGGUCUUCGGAUCGUAAAACUCUGUUAUUAGGGAAGAACAAAUGUGUAAGUAACUAUGCACGUCUUGACGGUACCUAAUCAGAAAGCCACGGCUAACUACGUG